UGGCUCAGUGGUAGAGUGCUUGCCUUGUAUGCAUGAGGCCUUGGGUUCGAUUCCUCA
rnacentral:tRNA from 1 species